rnacentral:rRNA from 1 species
UACGUAGGGUGCGAGCGUUGUCCGGAAUUACUGGGCGUAAAGAGCUCGUAGGUGGUUUGUCGCGUUGUUCGUGAAAACUCACAGCUUAACUGUGGGCGUGCGGGCGAUACGGGCAGACUGGAGUACUGCAGGGGAGACUGGAAUUCCUGGUGUAGCGGUGAAAUGCGCAGAUAUCAGGAGGAACACCGGUGGCGAAGGCGGGACUCUGGGCCGAUACUGACGCUGAGGAGCGAAAGCGUGGGGAGCAAACAGG